rnacentral:rRNA from 1 species
GUAGUUAGCCGGGGCUUCCUCCUUGGCUACCGUCAUUUUUUCGUCACCAAGGACAGAGGUUUACAACCCGAAGGCCUUCUUCCCUCACGCGGCGUUGCUGGGUCAGGCUUUCGCCCAUUGCCCAAUAUUCCCCACUGCUGCCUCCCGUAGGAGUCUGGACCGUGUCUCAGUUCCAGUGUGGCCGAUCAGCCUCUCAGCUCGGCUACCCAUCGCGGACUUGGUGGGCCGUUACCCCGCCAACUAUCUAAUGGGACGCGAGCCCCUCCCUUUGCGGAUUGCUCCUUUGACCUCAGAGCGAUGCCACUCCGUGGUCUUAUGCGGUAUUAGCAUCUGUUUCCAAAUGUUAUCCCCCUCAAAGGGUCAGGUUGCUCACGCGUUACUCACCCGUUCGCCACUCGGUACAAAACCGAAAUCUUGUACCCCGUUCGACUUGCAUGUGUUAGGCACGCCGCCAGCGUUCGUCCUGAGCGACGAGUACAACUACUCGA